rnacentral:rRNA from 1 species
UACGUAGGGUGCGAGCGUUAAUCGGAAUUACUGGGCGUAAAGCGCGCGUAGGCGGUUAGAUGAGUCCGUCGUGAAAGCCCUGGGCUUAACCUGGGAACUGCGGUGGAUACUGUCUGGCUAGAGUGUGGUAGAGGGCAGUGGAAUUUCCGGUGUAGCAGUGAAAUGCGUAGAGAUCGGAAGGAACACCAGUGGCGAAGGCGGCUGCCUGGACCAACACUGACGCUGAGGUGCGAAAGCGUGGGGAGCAAACAGG